rnacentral:lncRNA from 1 species
CGGCCCCCCAAAAUCCCUCUGCCUUUCACUCAGCCUGAGUCCCACCUUUGCUUCCACACCCUGCCCCUUAACAGGCACGUGGAAUUUGGACUCCUCCUAAAGUUACAGUGAUCGCUCUGGAUUUUUAUAUGGAUUUGAAAGGUAGUUAAAACUUUUGCAGAGUUAAUAUAUAAGGAACUGCCGUGAAUAUCUGUGAAAUAAAUUCUACCAAUGAUGUUUAUUUUUCUCAAAACCAGCAUGAAAUAUAGAGUGAUGGAUCAAGCACCACUGCUCCAGAUCUGGGAAGCACGACCGUGACAGUAUGAAAAGAUCCACGUCACUCACCAUAGAGGAGAGGAGACAGGAUGUUCCCUGGGACUGUGUGCAGGUGAUGGUGAGAGAGAGAGCGAGGCAAGCGCACAGCCCGAGACCACGUGCUUACUGCCCCAUCCGAGGAUACUUGAUCUGAUAUUAAGGCACUGGAGCAAGAUAAGAAAAACAAAAAGUGGAACUUCUACCAGAAGCAGACUACAAUCAAGUGCUGAUCAUGAAGUUUAGAUCGACGAUGGACCCCAUAGACGACGGUGGUCCCAAAAGGAACGUUUGAAAAUAGCGCUGACAACUCUCUGGAGAACUGGAAUCCCAUCCCCGUGGAAGGAGAAGAAGGUUUGCUCUGACAAUCCCACUCAAACGACGCAGCUCGAGUUUCUCCUCUCUCCUCAAGCUGCUGUUCCGGGGUGAGGUGGUGCCUGCAUCCAGGGUCAAGAAUGUAGCGCUCUGCUGUGAUUUACUGCUGAAUGUCACCCAGUCACAGAAUCCUACUCCAGAGUAGGAAGAGCCCAGCGUGCAGCACAGAGUGGUCCUCUCAGUCUGGACUUUGUGGUGUGGAAGAGCGGAGGUUAGUGGAGUGAACCAGACAUUGGGAUGGGGAGACUCGGGGUCACAGGCUGGCUGUGGCCCACGAGUCAGGAGGGACUGGGCAGCAGUCCCACCAACUGGGCUACUCCAGCGGAUGUGACCUCAAGAGGCUGUGGCAUGCCUGCAACAUUGUCAUUCCCCAGGCUCUUGUCACCAUCGUACCUGUGACUGCUACACCUGAGCACAGGUGAGCGUGAGGCAGGUAGGGUUUCCUACAACAGAUGAGCGAUUUCAAAGGGACUGCUCUUGGCUGUGGUGUCGUCCAACUGCUCUCACACAAUGGGACUUUCUGCAUCACUCUGUAAGGGAAAAUUUAACUGUCAAAAUAGGGGUCUGAAGCCUGUCUAUGAACAUCUUCAUAUUUUCUCCUAACACCUCUGUCUCAUUCUUUCUUUAUAGACUUCAGCAUUAUUACACACCCUUCUUUCUUAAAACUGCAGUUUGGUAAUUUUUUAAUCCCCGUCUUACCCAUUCUCUGUAGAUCAGCUUUAACUAACUCCUAUUGCUCAGUCUUUCACAUUCUUCAAAGUUGUUCUCUUCUCUCAACAUCCACAGCUAUUUCCUUGGGAGGGAGGGAUGAGGUCGGUGUAAGUCUCAUUCACAGGAUUUAGCAAAGCAUGUGGAUAAUUCCUAAAUUAUGUUAUUUUGCAAUGACCAAGGAUCUGAGCAUCCUAGAUAAAUAUGGGCCACCUGGCACCACAUUAAAUGAACUCUCUUCUCCAUUUCCUUUGCUGCAUAGUGUUCUGGAUCUCUCAUACAUCUCCCCUGCUCUCUUAAUUAUCUUACCUUGGAAUGCUGCUUUUAAAAUACAUUUCCUGGCUUCUCAAACUUGCCAUAUUAAUUUUCUGCUAAGUCCUAUAUCUCAGAGGCAGCACAUCACACUCUUCCUUCACCAAGUCUUUGCUGACAUCUUCUUUCUGUCCUUCACUCCAGAGUGUGCUCUGUAAGAUACUUCUGCUUCCAAUGCUUAAUGCCAAGCUGCUUUGAAAUCAUUUCUGAAAACUUACCAUUUUGCUGAAAACGUAUUUCCUUAGUGAAGUCUCCAAUGACAGAUGGUCCAUUUCAUUUUUUUUCUGCCCAUAGAAAAUCCCUCUAGCGAUAGAAAAGAAAUGUGUACCUUUGUAAGGAACUCUUCUGUGAGUUUUGGGCUGGCUUCUUCGCUUGUCUUCUCUUGCUGGAAGUAUUAUAGAACACUGUUUUGCAUAGCAUUUCAUCCCCUGUCAGCUUUGUGAGUUAAAAUGUGAUAAUGAGGUAAAGGCAUUUAAAGUUCCAUGUAACGUAGUAUGGAGUCGAGCGUGCCUGCUGAACCACCCAAUUCGAGCACGCAUAUUUGUAUGUUUCUGUUUCAACACUCUGAGAUGAAUGACAUUUUUACUUGGGAUGAAUUUCAUGAUUUAGAUAGAAUUACACAUAUUUUCUUUAAUAGCUUUUUGCACAACUUGCAUUGGAAAUCUUGCAAGGGUGAUUUUCAGUAGCGAACCCUGGUACUUUUGGCUAUGACACUUGAGAAAAACUAACACGACACACUUUCACAUUUUCAGGAAUAUGACUUUUAUAAAGUCAUUUACACAAUUUCUGGGAAAACUGGAGAAAUUCUUUAAAUUUUGCUUCUAAAAAAGUGAGAGAUGGAGACAGUAAGAAGGAGUAGGACAAAAAGAAAAUAAAUUUACUUAUUUUGAGGAGGUUAAACCUUCAAUAAGGGCAGCAGGGCCAAAAGUGGAUAGAAGCCAGCUUGCAAAAAGAACAAUACUUUUAUCCUCGGGUUUGUUGUUGCUCUUCUUUUCCACCUGGAGAGCCUGUCCAUCAUCAUUAGGAGCAUAUAAAGUCUGAUUGUUUGGGACUAGAGAGCCCAUGCAAAUACUUCCAGGGUACAUAGGCCUUCUCGACACCUUUAUAAGGAUGGACACAAAUUGCAUAAUCCUUCUCUUCUCUUAGGGAGUUUUCAAAAUAGGUUCUGGGAAAUGUUGGGCCAUGUACGAAAGGAGAAGUGGCCUUAAGGAAAGCCUCUGGAACCUGUCAUUAGGGAUACCACGGCUUCUCUCCCUCCUCUCUUCCAUGGGGAAAAUACCCAUUGGGGUAGCCCACCAGCCAUGCCCUCUUGAUUCCUUCCUUUCUCUUUCAUCUUCAGCUGGUUUCACUUGCUCAUUUCUGGAGUUUCUUAACUGGGUCUUUUAAAUGGUUUUUAUAUGUUAUAUAUACUCCCCUGAAAUUAUGUGACAAAAAUGUGUGUUUGUGUUUUUGUGUACAUGCACACAGUUUCCUGGGGGAAAGCCUCAAACAUUUUCAUAGGAUUCUGGGACCCAAGGAAGGUUAAUGAUUACUUCUUUUGUUUUCCUAUCCAGCUUGGUUCCUCUCAGUACGUUAGAUUGAUACUUCAUACAGCAUAAUCACUUGAAUAUGGAUUAUAAACUCAAAAGGCCUCAGCAGCCAGGCAGGUAAAGUGAAUAGCUGAAGGAGGUGAUGCAUGAGACAGUAUGAUGGUGGGACCUGAGGUCAACUUGGAGAGAGGUGGCCCAUUUAAAGGCACUCUAAUCCAGUUAAAACAUUUACUUUCUAUUCCACAAAUACAACUCAAUUGCUGGCUGAAUAUGGUCCAUAGGCACUGGGUUGAUGUUCAUGAUAACUUCUGC